GAAAUACAUAUAGUCCACUUUUUGCAUUACAGAGAUGAUAUUAGACUUUGCUGCAAAAUGAGCUCAGGUUGCAGUGCCAUCCAGAACUGGAAGUGAUGCUGAGCUGGUCCUGAUGCAGUUUUGAACUGAUGUGGAAGCAGCGACAGGGGCAGCAAUGAGGACAUUACUGGAGAUGCAGCUAGAGAUGAGGAAAGAGGCAUUUCAGUCCUCAGAGGAGGAGCAGCACUCUGAGGA